UACAGAGGUCUCAAGCGUUGUUCGGAUUCAUUGGGCGUAAAGGGUGCGUAGGCGGCGCGGUAAGUCGGGUGUGAAAUUUCGAGGCUUAACUUCGAGACUGCAUUCGAUACUGCCGUGCUAGAGGACUGGAGAGGAGACUGGAAUUUACGGUGUAGCGGUGAAAUGCGUAGAUAUCGUAAGGAAGACCAGUGGCGAAGGCGGGUCUCUGGACAGUUCCUGACGCUGAGGCACGAAGGCCAGGGGAGCAAACGGG
rnacentral:rRNA from 1 species